ensembl:lncRNA
GUUUGUUUGUUUGUCUGUUUUGUUUUGUUUUCUUUUUUCAUUCUUUUUUUCUUUUCUUUCCAGUUUAACAGUAUGGAAAUGUUACGGAAGAAUCAUAUGUAAAAACAGUUUGUCAGUCUCUGCCGAGCACUAUUGAAUAAAAGGCAAAUCUGUUAGGUUGUUAAGAGUAGUUGAGCACGAACAAUGGGAACGAUAUGGGGCCAUUAGUUAGGGGUGGGGCUUGGGGUGAAGAAUUGGUAUGGAAUAUUGUACUGGAAUUAAUUGUAAUAGCCACUCCUUGUACCAUAAAUAUGCUUGUAUUCCCUCUAGAAAGAGGGAUGUUUACCUGCUUUCAGUGUGCAGGCUAGAAAGGAGUUAUCCCCCCUGCACCCAGUCGGCUGAAUAAAACAUACCUGCUGUACAACUGCUUUGUGGUUAUAGAGUUUGUUUCGCAAGUCAGUUUCUGUGAGCCAGCCAGGAGAACUCUGAUGGACCGCAGGGCUGGUCGGACCAGGGGACGCUUCUAGCACGCCCCGAAAACAAUUUUUUUUUCGAAGAAGACUCCCCAGGCCGACACAUCCAUUGCGGGGCAGGGAAAGAGCUCCGGCGCAGAGCAUUGCCCUGUGCAUUACAGGACACCUUUUUCUGCCUGGUUUUGCCAAAGAAAGUGUAAAAAAAAGAAAAUUCAGUUAACCUGGACAGUGUUACCCAGGGUUGUGAGAACAGCCCAGUGAUUUGUGAGAAGUGGUCAGCUCGUGAGCCUGAGACUUGGGUUCCUCCAUCCCAAGGUGGAACUUUACCCAUGGAUGCCACAGUAACAAAAGAGGACUGCACAAUGGACUGGGAGGUUGCUGAAUUUCUUGGUUUCAGUGGUUAUCAAGUUUCUCAACUGAAAGCUCAACUGAUCAAAGAGGAGGAAGGAAGCAAUUUGCUGAACGCCCAAGACAGCGACACAGAGCUACCUCCAAUCCAGCAGUGUGCGACUGCACAGAGACUGUCUGUGCCAGUGGGCCAGACCUACAGGAAGAACCAUUGGAUGGUGUGGAGGGUUCCUGCAUUCAUCGACAGAAGCAGUUUUGUGAGACAAGGAAACUGUAAGGCAGGAUAUGGAGUAACUGCUACUUACCAGGUAAUUGAAGCAAAACUAUUACCUGUGGAGAAAUACUUGAGAAAUACUUGGAUUGCUAGGGAUUAAGUGUUAAGAAAUGUCACAGAAAGGCUUUUGAAUGUUACUCUAUACAACUUUCCAAUUUUCUUCUCCAGCAUCCAGCUACUGUUUGAGCUAAGCCUAGAACUAGCCUUCCUGAAGCCUCUGUAGUUUGUGUCAAAAGAAAAACAUAAAUCAGGCAGCUAUACUGGGUAUAGCUAGAAGUAUCUAACUGUACUAUACACAGUGAUGUAUGCUUUUGGAAGUGAACUGUAAUAAAUCAUAGACAAUUCUGUGAUGUCUAGACAAAUAGUUAAACUUUUAUCCAGAUCAUCACCCCACUCAGCAGUAUUAAUACACUGUGGAGAAGACAGGUUUCUUAGAGAUGUUCCUUACCAUAAAAUGCCUCAGUCAACAGUUUUUCCCUUAGGCCAUAUUACUGUCCACUGCUACAGGGACCUUGCAGAUGGUCAUCACACAAAACACUGAUGGACAACACACAAAUUGCCACUGUAAGUUGGUAGUUACCUAUAAAUUGCACUGGAGAAAAAAAAAGAUUUGUUUUUACUUCUGCCUCACAGAAAUCAAUUUAAAUAGCUGUAGUACGUGAUUUCUAAAGAAUAAAAUGAGCUAAAAGCCCUCUUGAAUGAUGAGUGAACACCUUGUGGGGAAAAAUGCUGAAAAUUACAUGUGAUUUAUAAAGCUUUGCUAGAGAUAGCAAUAUAAACUUCUCAUUUUUAUACAAAAUCAAGAUGCUUUAGUCAGUCUAGAGUCAAACAAAAACUGAAAAUCUGGUUGGUUUGUAUGCUAAGUACACAUAUUUUAUGCAUUUUUCACCAUGAAUUAUAACACUGUGUUGUAAUAGAAAUACAG